rnacentral:rRNA from 1 species
AGCGAACGCUGGCGGCAGGCUUAACACAUGCAAGUCGAGCGCCCCCGCAAGGGGGAGCGGCAGACGGGUGAGUAACACGUGGGAACGUACCCUUUGGUUCGGAACAACACAGGGAAACUUGUGCUAAUACCGGAUAAGCCCUUACGGGGAAAGAUUUAUCGCCGAAGGAUCGGCCCGCGUCUGAUUAGCUAGUUGGUGAGGUAACGGCUCACCAAGGCGACGAUCAGUAGCUGGUCUGAGAGGAUGAUCAGCCACACUGGGACUGAGACACGGCCCAGACUCCUACGGGAGGCAGCAGUGGGGAAUAUUGGACAAUGGGCGCAAGCCUGAUCCAGCCAUGCCGCGUGAGUGAUGAAGGCCUUAGGGUUGUAAAGCUCUUUCGGCGGGGAAGAUAAUGACGGUACCCGCAGAAGAAGCCCCGGCUAACUUCGUGCCAGCCGCC